GGCGAACAAGAAGAACACUAUGGCGAUAGCUUAAAAGAAGGCAACAUAGUUAAAGUACGCAUCCAAGUCCAAAAGAGUCCUAUCAAUGGAAUCAACUUCAUUAACAAACGUGGCAAACAUGCAGAUUACGUUGCACAUCCAUCACAUAUAAACUAGAUAACAAAGCUGUCAAGAACUAUCAAGCAAGGUCAAUGGUGUGCGAGCGAGACGACAUGGACGCUGAAUGGGCAUUGACACAGACCACAGAAGAAGCAAGCUUGCGUGAUCAAUUCCUUUAGCAACAUCAACAUGGAGUCGGGCUGCAUUGAUUUGGAAGCCCUAGUCCCACUUCAGCCUAGAGGGACGCUGGUUAUCUCCACACACAGGACUUUUUUUUUGUCUUCACUCACACACACACACACACACGAUUAUUUUUUGUGAGGGUUCCGGAAGAAACAGCGGGAAAGGGGUGGUCAUAAUUUGUAAUUUUGGUCAUAAGACAUUGUGAUAUAACGAAGGGCGAGCAAACCUUUUCUUUGCUGUGUGGUCCAGCGCAAAGGAAAUAGGUGUGUAUGUGUUGGUCAAUCUAUUGUGUCCGUGGUACUGGGGAUGUAUGAACAUUUUAAAAAAAACAGCUUGCACUUAAUAAAUAAAUAGAUUUAGUCAGUGCCAGAUUUUAAAUGUUGAGGCAAUCAGCAGAAUUUUCUAUCGUGGGGGAGGAUGUAGCUUCCAAAAGUUUCAAUACAAAUUUAAAUAAUAAUAUUAAUAAAUCUAUAAGCAUGGUAUAUAUAUGAGGAAGAAAAUUGAGUACUUCUAAAUGUAAAUAUCAUUUUCUUUCCUUUUGAAUUUUUAAUAAGCUUAUUCUCAAAAUCUGUAUAACCUAUUUUUGAAAGGUAAAGACCCUCUUUAAGCGCAAGGCUCAGUGUGGCUGCACGUCUUAGCACAGUCGUAAAUCCGGCACAGGAUCUAGUUAGUGUUGAAUUCUAGCCAAGGCUAGUUUUGUAUGUUCAAGCUGUAUGACUUUGGCUUCUAUAUU
rnacentral:sRNA from 1 species